GCGGCGGGAGAAGGAAGGCACCCGGCGCUGGAGCAGAGCGGCGAAGGGAAGGGGCAGGGACCCAGCGGCCGGGGCGCGGGUUUAUUGGCCGGCGCAGACACGCGUGGCCCGGGCAGGGCUGAGACACGCACCGGACCCGGGCAGCGGGCGCCCGGCGCUCACAUGAUGAGCUGCGCGGCGGGGGCCGGGCCGAGUUUCGGCGCUGGGAGCCCGGCAGAACUUUCCUCCCGCGGUCGCCGCGUCCCGGCCGGCCUGGCCCUGGGAGCCGCUUCGCUCCGCAGCCCGCUGGCGGCUUUUGCUUUGCCGGCCCCUGCUCCCCUCCCUCCGCUCGCUCUUCUCCCAUUUCUUCGUCAGCUGCCUCCCCCUGGGCCGGGCCCCCUUCCCCUGGGCUCUCCCUCCAGCCUUCCAUUCCCCUGCUGCUGACCUCUCCUUCCUUCUUUCCCUCCCCCAGAUCCUUCCCCCCCAGACACACACAUCCCCUUUCCCGUCCCCACCCACCCCCAUGCCCCACUCCACCAUGCUGACGGGGACCAUGCCCCCAACGGAGGUGUACUUCUCUGAGCGGGUCAUCGUGCUGGUCUCCUGUGUCCUCUCCUUCCUGGGCUCCAGCCUCCUGGUCUUCACCCAUGCCCUUUGGCCCGAGCUGCGGACCCGUCCCCGGCAGCUCCUGCUCUACCUGUCCCUGGCCGACCUCCUGUCGGCCGUAUCCUACUUCUACGGGGUGCUGCAGGACUUCGACUCGACCUCGUGGGACUGCGUGCUGCAGGGCGCCCUGUCCACCUUCUCCAACACCAGCUCCUUCUUCUGGACCAUGGCCAUUGCCUUCUACCUGUACAUCACCAUUGUGAGGGGCGCGCCAACGGGCACUGGCCUGCUCUGCUUCUUCCACGGGAUGAGCUGGGGAGUCCCACUUGUCAUCACAGUGGCUGCUGUCGCUUUGAAGAAGAUUGGCUAUGAUGCGUCAAACGUCUCUGUGGGCUGGUGCUGGGUCGACCUGGAAGCGGCGGAUCAGGUCCUGUGGAUGCUGUUAACAGGGAAAUUGUGGGAGCUGCUGGCGUAUGUGAUCCUACCUGUCCUUUACAUCCUCAUCAAAAAGCACAUCAAUAGAGCGCGUGCGGCACUCUCUGAAUAUCGCCCCAUACUAGCCAGGGCUCCGGCCUUUCAGCCCAGGACUUCCAUAGCAGAUAAGAAAUUGAUCCUCAUCCCGCUCAUCUUCAUCUUCCUCCGCAUCUGGAGCACUAUCCGAUUCAUCCUGACCCUCUGCAGCUCCCCUGCCGUGCAAAAUUCAGUCCUGGUGGUCCUGCACGGAAUUGGGAACACAUUCCAGGGAGGUGCCAACUGCAUCAUGUUUGUCCUCUGCACUCGUGUCAUCCGGACCCGGCUGCUCUCUUCCCUUUGCUGUGGUCGCUACGGAGGUUUGCAUCAGCCUUCACAGAGCCUAGAGGGGGGUUACCAGCACGCCGAACCCCCCAAGAACACGGAGGCUGAACAGACGAAGGCCGAAUUCGCAAGCACCUGAGCCUUGAAUCUCCACGGCUGAGUGUGAGAUUCCGUCAUUCUUGGUAAAGGUUUAACUGUAACUGAAGUACCACCAAGUGCCUGUAGAGGGAGAUAGAGGCCUGAGGAAAACGAACUCCCACUUGAACAAUUACCGUGCAGGCAACGACUGACAGGGUCUUUAUGGAAAUCUCCCUCCAUGGAAUUCAGAUACCAGCUGCCUUAGCGCUUCUUUCAAGAUUUCCAGGAAUGUGCUACCGGGUCACACCCCAACUUCCAGUCUCAUCCCCAUGCCCCUCCCACAGAAGUUUACAAAUUAUUCCUGGGUUCUGAUUUUCUGUUUUACUAAGAGGAUUUCUCACCGUGCGGCUGGGGUGGGGGGAAAUCCCCAACGUUCUGAAGACUCCAGGAGCUUCUGAAUGGAAGCGCCUUGGAUGUGGGAUCGAUUUAUCGUCUGUUUCAUGAGGCCUUCAAGGGGGCUCCUGCUCUUCUAUGCUUCAGAUGGUGGAUGGGGGCCGAUAACUUGGCAAAGUCUUUCUUUGUUCUCCUUGGGGUGGGGAUGUGUCUUGGAUGUUUUGCUCCUUUUCCAGGGCCACAGCAGCUCGUCUUCCUUCUGGAUUUCGGAUGUGAAUGAGCUUGGGUGGCCGCUUGACGGAAUCAUGGCUCUGUGGACAGUUUGGUACUGAGGGUAGGUAAGUGGGUGAGCAUAUCAACCCAGCCAUCCAGCGAGAGCAGCCCCUGAAGGGGACAGCAUGGACAUAUGGACACAUUUUGCUGCACAAAUCCUAAAUCCAGGUUUUCCUUCUUCCAAGGCACAGUCUGUUUUUAUUAAUGCGCCCCUUCUCCCACCCGUGGUUUUUAAAAUCACAGCUUGGGCUUUAGGAGAUGCCAUCCCUUUUAGAACACACCCUGUUUACAGCGCCUCAACUUUCCUUUCCUGAUGCACUUCUGAAACCCUUCAUCUUUUUAACAAAGUCCUCACCGGAUUCCUGUCUCUGUGUAUGGACAGUGGUCUCCUUCCGGUGCCUUUUUUUUUUUUUAAUGGAGAUGUUGUUAUUCAGUGUGUGAUCAAGGCACAGAUUGGUCUGCCAAUAUCUCUCCAGGCUGGGUGGGGGGAGAAGAGAAAUUCUGUGACAAUGUUUUUACAAGUUCCCAGUGUGUCUGUAAUUUAACAAAUGAUUGUCUAAGGCAUGUCCAGGGUGACUGAGCACAAAUCAUCCAUGCCAAUUGUAGAUGUUGCUCUUCCCGAUUGUUUUUACUCGGAUAUUGACCUCUCACCAGCAUGGGGUGCAACCUGCUGAGCUGUUUGUGUGUGUGUGGGUUGGUUGAUUUCACUUGGAAUGUCCACCACCUUCUUGGUAUAAAAUUAAAGGACUGUGUGAAAUGA